CCCUACGGGGUGCAGCAGGCGCGAACACUUUACAAUGCGGGAAACCGCGAUAAGGGAACCCCGAGUGCCAGCAUCAAAUGUUGGCUGUCCGGAUGAUUAAAAAUCACUUGUUAGCAAGGGCCGGGCAAGACCGGUGCCAGCCGCCGCGGUAACACCGGCGGCCCGAGUGGUAGCCGUUUUUAUUGGGUCUAAAGGGUCCGUAGCCGGCCUGAUAAGUCCUUUGGGAAAUCUGGCAGCUUAACUGUCAGGCUUCUAAGGGAUACUGUCAGGCUUGGGACCGGAAGAGGUAAGGGGUACUCCAGGGGUAGGAGUGAAAUCUUGUAAUCCCUGGGGGACCAUCUGUGGCGAAGGCGCCUUACCAGAACGGGUCCGACGGUGAGGGACGAAAGCUAGGGGAGCAAACCGGAUUAGAUACCCGGGUAGUCCUAGCUGUAAACGAUGCUCGCUAGGUGUCAGACACGGUGCGACCGUGUUUGGUGCCGCAGGGAAGCCGUUAAGCGAGCCACCUGGGAAGUACGGUCGCAAGGCUGAAACUUAAAGGAAUUGGCGGGGGAGCAC
rnacentral:rRNA from 1 species